AUCCGCCCGUCUCGGCCUCCCAAAGUGCUGGGAUUACAGGCUUGAGCCACCGCGCCCGGCCGCAAUGCUACCUCUUAAGAGUUAAUGAAUUUCCUUGUCAUCAGUUAGUACUGAUGAUUGACAUCUUGUUUUUUUAUUCUUCCAACUGUGGAAGCUAAUAGUGUGCAAUUUUUUUUAUUUCUCUUUAUUCUUUAUAUAUACUUGCAUAUUUAUUUAAUUGACACACUGAUAAUUUCUGUUUUAUGCAGUUACACAUUUGUUUACCUUUAAAACAAUUUCUUCAGCUUGUUUUAAUAAAUAAUAUUAAUAGAAGGCAACUACAUUUUUAUGUAAAAUUUACUUGUUGACAACCAUUUAGCAAUUUUCUUUUUCUUUCAAACCUUUAGCUAGAGGCCAUGUUUGCAAUAGCCCAUGGGAUCAGGGUCUUUAACUUUCACACAUUAUUAGAUUAUUGGCUUUUUCAUAUAUAGUCCACUUAAGGGAUUAUUGGUCAUACUAGUUUUUGUGUAUUCCUAAGUGUCCCAUCCUGUUGUGUUCCAUCCCAUCCCUACCACAAUGUCCGCACCUAUUAGGUUCUCAAUGAAUUUCUUCAUAGAUUCUUAUGAAUGAGCUUGGGAAUAAUUUGAGAUUACAGUCUAUGAAAAUAGGUAUCUUAAGGGUUGGAGAUUUCUAAAAAAAUGUUUGUUUGUUUUUUUGAGAUGGGGUCUCCCUCUGUCACCCAGGCCAGAGUGCAGUGACACUAUCACGGCUCACUGCAGCCUUAACUACCUGGGCUCAAGCAAUUCUCCCAUCUUGGCCUCCUAGCUAGCUAGGAUCCCAGGUACACAUCACCGUGCCUGGCUAACUUGUUUUGUUUGUAGAGAUGAGGUCUCAUUUGUUGCCUAGGCUGGUCUUGAACCACAAAAGGUAGCAAAGUGUAUUGAAUAAUAAUAUCUAGAGGAUGUAGAUAUAAUAAUAAUAGAUAUUAUUCCAAUGAUAUAAAAAAGCCCCAGGGAAGUUUUUUUCCGGGAUGAAAUGGUCAAGUGUUAAAUUUGCUAAUAAGUUAGAAUUUGAAAGUAUGCAGUUAUGUUUCUGUCCUAUAAAAGGAUUGAUCCAAGUGGACUGUGUUUGCCUUUGAUCAAGUUCUGUAAGCGAACACUUUCAGAAACCUUUCCCUAAAAAUUAUUUACUGGAAGUGUCCCACUGCGGGUUAUAACUGUUCAGUCCAGUCCUUUCUCCAUCUUCUUUUCUUUAUUCAUCUAUCAAUGAGGGUUUAGAUAUAAGGAGCUCUUAAUAUUUUCCUGUUUACUGUUGUAUUUGAGAUGAUUGGAUACAUUUAAGUGCAUUUAAACUGAAAUGCAGUUCACACAGUGGCAUAACUUGCAAAGGACUGUUACAGCAGAUGAUUGUAUUCUUAGUUUUUUUUAGACUACUUAGCUGUAGCACUUAAAUUUCAUUUUGUAGAGCCAACAUAAAGAACUUAUUCCAAAAAAAA